ACGGGAGGCAGCAGUGAGGAAUAUUGGUCAAUGGGUGGAAGCCUGAACCAGCCAAGUCGCGUGAAGGAAGAAGGUAUUAUGUAUUGUAAACUUCUUUAGCAGCAGAGUAAUAAGGGGGUCGCGACCCCCGAUGCAAGUAUGCUGAAAAUAAGGAUCGGCUAACUCCGUGCCAGCAGCCGCGGUAAUACGGAGGAUCCGAGCGUUAUCCGGAUUUAUUGGGUUUAAAGGGUGCGCAGGCGGCUUUUUAAGUCAGUGGUUAAAGCGUGAGGCUCAACCUCAGCACGCCAUUGAUACUGGAGAGCUUGAUUGCGGUUGAGGUUGGCGGAAUUCGUCGUGUAGCGGUGAAAUGCAUAGAUAUGACGAAGAACCCCGAUUGCGUAGGCAGCUGACCAAGCCGUAAAUGACGCUCAUGCACGAAAGUGCGGGGAUCGAACAGGAUUAGAUACCCUGGUA
rnacentral:rRNA from 1 species